rnacentral:rRNA from 1 species
AUUCCAGCUCCAAUAGCGUAUAUUAAAGUUGUUGCAGUUAAAAAGCUCGUAGUUGGAUUUCUGGCGUCGCCGCCCGGUCGGCCUCGAAAGGGGUUCGCACUCGUUGGCGCGCGUCGCCAUCCUCGGGGGAAGGCCGCCUGGCAUUAAGUUGUCGGGCGGUCGACGCUCGUCGUUUACUGUGAACAAAUUAGAGUGUUCAAAGCAGGCUUAGGCCGUUGAAUACAUUAGCAUGGAAUAAUGAGAUAGGACUUUGGUGGUCUAUUUUGUUGGUUUGCACGCCGAAGUAAUGAUUGAUAGGGAUAGUUGGGGGUGCUAGUAUUGACCGGCCAGAGGUGAAAUUCUUGGAUUCGGUCAAGACUAACUUAUGCGAAAGCAUUCACCAAGGAUGUCUUCAUCA